UACAGAGGGGGCAAGCGUUGUUCGGAAUUACUGGGCGUAAAGGGCGCGUAGGCGGCCUGCUAAGUCGAACGUGAAAUCCCCGAGCUCAACUCGGGAACUGCGUCCGAUACUGGUUGGCUUGAAUCCGGGAGAGGGAUGCGGAAUUCCAGGUGUAGCGGUGAAAUGCGUAGAUAUCGAGAGGAACACCUGCGGCGAAGGCGGGUUGCUGGGCCGACACUGACGCUGAUGCGCGAAAGCCAGGGGAGCGAACGGG
rnacentral:rRNA from 1 species